UUAGGAGAAGUCGUAACAAGGUUUCCGUAGGU
rnacentral:rRNA from 1 species